UAAAAAGACUAAACUGGUUCCUUAUUCUGCCAUCUCUCCAUACGUCAAACUUUCGUCGUCGUAGACCUUCCGCUCGCCCGCGUGCAACUACAUGGGAUAGGCCCACCUCUCGCGGAGACGUCGCGCUCCUUCCUCUAGCGGUCGCGUCCCCCUUCGCUAUUCUCUACCUUGACGACCCUAGCCGCCUCUGCCUCCCCCACGCGAUCUGGUCCUCCUCCACCCGUGCGAGCCGCGAUCCCCAUCUCGUGCCCGCCUCCACCUCCCUCCACCUGCCGCCGUCGUUGUCUAUUUCCCAUCUCGAGGAUGAGCGGCGAGAUGCAGCCCGUCGCUCUCGACAACUAGCCGCCACAAGCCAGAGCAGAGGCCACGGAGAGCUCGGUAGUGGGCGUUCAGCAUCCAGGGAGCCAGGCCGGAGGAGACGCCACUGAAGGAGUGGUCUUCCACCUCCAGCAUCCAGGAGCCUGGCCGGAGCCAAGGCCGUUGGCGGCUCCGUGGCCCUGCCGAAUCUAGGGAGCGGCCUAAUCCCUAGGCGCGUCCUGGAUGGACGCCCACCACUCCGUGCCUCCACUACAUCGAGCAGAGUUCUUGCUGCUACAGAUCUUGGGUUCCCUGCCAUCCGUGCUAUGAAGAAGAACAACAUCACGUCUAUUCAUAAACCUGCCAAUAGAUGUAACAGAAUGUGUCAAUAUGCAUGUGGAAAUUUCUGAUGGAGAUGAGGGUGAGGUUGUGCGUGCCUAUUGGUCCAAAGAGAAGGAAGUUUAUCUUACCUGUUUGGAUGCAUUUUGAGAGACUAGAUGUGUUCAUUAUUCCAAGAAAGUUCCAGCAGAAGCAAAAAAUGGCACCCGUCAUCUUUAUAAUCAUCUCAGAAUUUGUUUACCUGAAAACGAGACAGAAGUGCAAGUACCUGUUUGUCACACCAAGAUCAUUUUAAGCCAACUUCAAACUGCACAAAUCAUAGAUGAGAUGGUACUUUGUUCUACUACGAAUAAAUACUCAGAUUGCCAGGCCGCUUGUCUGAAUGGAUCCAUAUUUUCUUGGAAGAAGUAGAGGGGCCUCACCAGAGGGGAAGAAGACAAACACUGUGCCAACGAUUCAGAGCAUCCGGUGGCAGUACCUUUUGCAGGGAAGACGAGGGAGGGGAAGGUGGCAGCAAUUCCGCAUUGAAACGAUAAAGGGGGUUUCAGUAGAGCAAAGGAAAGGAGGAGAACGAAAUUCAACAGAAAUUGAACGAGGGAGGGGAAAUUGGCCUUGAUUGCGGCACGCGAAUGGCAUGCAGCGGACGUCGUCUUUCUCCCUUGCUGUGAUGGCUUAGGUAUUGGUCUCCAGCGAACGACUCCUUGCAGUGGCUACUUUUCUCAGCCUGAAUGUUUUUUUGGUUACUUUUGUUUUUUCUGGCUACUUUUGUUAGCCCUCUGUUCAAAAUCACCAAAACUGUUGCCAUGGAUUAGUUGCCAUAUUUGUCAGUUUUCUUCUCUUCCGUUUUAAAAUAUUUUAAACCUUUUUUUACGGUGACUUGGUACUUAUAUUCAAGUAACCAGUUUACAAAUAGCCACCACCUACUCUUAUCCUUUCUUGGUUAUAUUUGGUUGAAUUUUUUAAAUAUAUGGCGGGCCAUAAUUUUUAGUUCAUGUGCCCGCUAGAUUUAGGAGCUGCAAAAUAGAAGGUUCUUCUCACAAGUAAUAAUUAUCACCUUUACAUUAUUGUUUCUUCCAAGCACAUUCCUUAUUUUAUUUUUCAGCAUUGCAACACAGUUACAAUUUUGUUUUACUGUUCUAAAUUUCCAAUUCAGUAAAACCAAUAGUGAGGGGGUGAGGAUCUCCUUGCUUCAUUAUGUUCAUAACUAUCAUACUUCUGAAUAUUGCUUGACAGAAAUGAUGGGAAAGUCCCAUGAGGCUAUAGAGGAGUUCUUCAUCAAGAAAGGAGUAAGGGCUUCAAAAUGUAGAACUGAAACUUCGGAUAAAAUAGAUACAAGCAUUGCCCUGAAUAACCUUUCUCUCGUGUGCAUGCUUACUAAGUUCCGUUUAUUUGCCUAUGGUUCAGUUAGCUGAUGUUCUGUUUUACUGUUAUGGUGGCAGAUGGGCUGGUGUAUUUCGAAGAUCUCCUUGAUAAGGAGUGUUUUCAAUCAAAUUCUGCAUCAUAUUACACUGUACUCUGAAUAUUGAGAUACCAAUGUUGCCUGAUUUUGUUCGUUAGUCAUACUUAACAUAGGCCAUUGGAUAUUGUACGUUUUAAUAAAGCUACGAAUAUGUAGUGUAAUUUCUCUUAAAAUACUUUUUUCCAUGCACUUAAAUCUUCUGCUUCUUUCAGAGAAAGGGGGUUUCAGUAGAGCAAAGGGAAGGAGGAGAACGAAAUUCAACAGAAAUUGAACGAGUGACAAUGUGCAUGUUGGCAUUGGUGUAUGCAUUCUUCCUAACUGGUGGAGUAUAUAACUUCAAGGGAUGUAGUUCAAAUAUAUUAUUGGAUUAAUGCAGAAGACAUUCAUAAAUCAUGCGGCGUUGUCGAAGUGAUGUUUCUGAUGCUUGGAGAACUACUCCCUAGGUGAGGGUCCCCUAUCCAUUCCAGUGGAGCUCCUGCAUUUCAUUGCAAAACAGUAGUUUUUGUCAGCGGAUUAUCAAUCCAGAUAUCCAUUGUACUUCUGCAACUUUCAUCAUAUCAUGCUUUUUCAUUACUUGUCAAUUUAAGCCCUCCAACACGAGUUGU